rnacentral:rRNA from 1 species
ACAGCAGUAGCCACGGUAAUACGUAGGUGGCAAGCGUUGUCCGGAAUUAUUGGGCGUAAAGGGCUCGCAGGCGGUUUCUUAAGUCUGAUGUGAAAGCCCCCGGCUCAACCGGGGAGGGUCAUUGGAAACUGGGAAACUUGAGCGCAGAAGAGGAGAGUGGAAUUCCACGUGUAGCGGUGAAAUGCGUAGAGAUGUGGAGGAACACCAGUGGCGAAGGCGACUCUCUGGUCUGUAACUGACGCUGAGGAGCGAAAGCGUGGGGAGCGAACAGGAUUAGAUACCCCCGUAGUCCCUGUCUCUUAUAC